rnacentral:rRNA from 1 species
AGUGAACGCUGGCGGUAGGCCUAACACAUGCAAGUCGAACGGCAGCACAGUAAGAGCUUGCUCUUACGGGUGGCGAGUGGCGGACGGGUGAGGAAUACAUCGGAAUCUACUUUUUCGUGGGGGAUAACGUAGGGAAACUUACGCUAAUACCGCAUACGACCUACGGGUGAAAGCAGGGGAUCUUCGGACCUUGCGCGAUUGGAUGAGCCGAUGUCGGAUUAGCUAGUUGGCGGGGUAAAGGCCCACCAAGGCGACGAUCCGUAGCUGGUCUGAGAGGAUGAUCAGCCACACUGGAACUGAGACACGGUCCAGACUCCUACGGGAGGCAGCAGUGGGGAAUAUUGGACAAUGGGCGCAAGCCUGAUCCAGCCAUACCGCGUGGGUGAAGAAGGCCUUCGGGUUGUAAAGCCCUUUUGUUGGGAAAGAAAAGCAGCGGGUUAAUACCCCGCUGUUCUGACGGUACCCAAAGAAUAAGCACCGGCUAACUUCGUG